GGAGCGAAGAGAUGGACAGCAACUACUACACCGAAGAACGACUCCAAAAAAACUUGAACCAACAAAGCAAAACAGAUGACAGAAAGACCGAAUCGGAAAAUUUUCUAGGAAACCUUUGGCUUAAAUAUAUCUUUUUCUUUCAUCACUUAGCUAACUUCCUGUAUUUUCACCAACACAAAAUUCUUCAACACCCCUUUUUUUUCAAUCAAAAA
rnacentral:misc_RNA from 1 species